AUCUCUCUCCCUCAAAGGCUCU
rnacentral:miRNA from 1 species